rnacentral:tRNA from 1 species
GUAGCUCAACUGGUAGAGCAACUGACUUGUAAUCAGUAGGUUGGGGGUUCAAGUCCUCUUGCCGGCACCA